UCCAGCCCAAGGAUAAGCUCCCAUGAUGGCGGACACUACCAAAUAAAAAUAAAAAGAGAUAAAAUGGAGAGUUGGAAAAACAGUGAAUUCAGCAGAGAAAAGAAGAAAAGAUGCAAGAAAAAUAAAGAAGCAAUCUUGGUGCCCCUAAUUUCACUCCUGAUGAAAAAAACAGAAGCCAGAAGAAAAUUAUUGUGAUGAUGAUGAUGAUGAUGAUGAUGAUGAUGAUGAUGAUGGUAAUGAAGCUGUCGUCCAACGAAACUUGUGGCAAAGUCUGUACUUUUUCACCACUCAUCAUUAUAACUCACGACUCGCCUCUCUACCGAGCUUCUUGUAUUACGAAGAGUCAGAAAGAACAGGGAGAUCAACAGAUUACCUUCAAAGUUAGCCAUGAUUAAAAGAAAAGUUAAAGGAAUGUUGCAGCUGAUAAUCAACCUGAAAAUUGAAUCUAUUUUACCCAAUUGUAACUUACUUGGUUGGAAAAAAAGAGUUUCUUAAAAGGUUAUUAGAAGGAUGCAAUUGAAAUGAUGACCAAGCUGAUGGCAGUGAUGAUUAUGGCAAUUGAAUAAUGAGUUAAAAGUAAUGAUAAUAGUACAUUUCUGUAACAGUUGCCGUAAAAAUUGGCCAAGAAAAAGAUACAAACGAACAAACGACUGGUUAAGGUUAUAAAGUGUUACUUUUAAUGGUCAUUUAAUGGUUAUUGCUGGUAACACGCAAUCUAUUAUCAUUGGUUGUGAAUAUAAUUACAAUAAAUCAAUCCUGGAAACAAAACAUAGGAGAUAAACUGCCCAAAUAAUCUUAAAAUAUAACGUUCAAAACAUAAGGCUAAACGGAGGAACCAAUAUCAUCAAUUGCAAGAUGAAAUCAAUCAAGUUAAAGAAUCAAAACUCGCAUUACUUGAAGAGCAAAAAAAGCUAAACAAAAAAAUAACUAAAUUAAUCUGGAUUAUAGCUGUUUACAAUUACCAACCGAUUAUUCCCUAAUAUGUUGGCCUGAUUGUUCUGUAUCAUCAGAAAUGCAAAAGGAGAAGCAAAAAAAAGGUUAAAUAUCAUUACCAUCACCAAAGAUCCGAGAGAAUGGUUAUUUUCAACAAGUAAAGAGAGGUAGCUUUGCGUGAUAAAUUAAUCAAUCAAGAUAUACAGUUUAAUGGCAUUAUUAUUAGCUAUAUUAUCAAUUACACUACGAGGAACCAUUGGUGAUGGCAGAAAAUGAAGAAAAGAUGAAACAGAUAAUCACGCAUUAUCCCAAUACUGUCCAAUGGAGCCCAUCAACGACGUAAUAUAUUUGCUCAUAAAUGUUUCCAAAAACGUAAAAUGGUUCCUGCUUGGGAAACACUCAAUGCAAAUGCAAUUGAGAUGCGUUUUUGGUAAAGGCAGCAAACAUCUUCAUCUAAUACUUGGAUAACAUUAAAAUUGGAUGACAUGAAUUGGGACCAGAGUGAAGUUUAUGGAUCAAGAGAUUGAAAUUGCAGCGAAAUUAUUUCUUAAAAGAUUGAAGGUUAAUCAAAAAGUCAAUGGAAAAGCAAAAUGGGAAAAAAUUUGGAUUCUCAAGCGAUAUUGGGCCGAUAAAAGGUUGAGGCACGGAAAGGAGUCAGUAAAGGUGGAGGUGGAUGAAAAUCAAGAUUGAUAACACCGAGGGGCUUCUGGAUCUAUACAACAAGACCAAUUAUGAUAAAAAGAUGUUUCAGUCAUCUUACUGUUGAAAAAUCUGUCAAUCUAUUGAUUCCGCUGACAGCAAAGUAGAUGCAAAGUGCAAUCUUUUAAUGAGCUUUUGGGUGUUUUGCUAUUUUCUAAAGCAUGAUAAUGUUGAUUAUCGAUGAUGAUGAUGAUUACUAUUACAAUCAAAAUCAUCUAAUUGAGAUUAUGGCUGGCUUUUCUCUCUCCUGUUAACAAUGGUUAAUCUUGAUGGUCUUAUUGAAACAUGAUCAAAGUUUACAUCAACCAAGUAGGGAGUCAAGCAUCAUUUUAUUAUACAUUCAGUUUUCUUACUGUUAAUCAAUAUUAAAUUGAGUCCAUAGAGAUGAUGUUGAAAAUGAAAAAUGAUUGUAAAAAAUUGUUGCUUCUUUGAUUACUGAUUGUUCAAUAAGAAGGUUAUAAAGGGAUAAACAAUGAUGGACACAGCAAGAACAAGUUGAAGUCUGGUUCAAUGGAAAGAAGCCAAAUUGUCAUUGAUUGAUCAGGUUUAUUGAUAUUACAAGUUAUUAAAAUUGGACAGGUUUGCUAAUCAAAUUAAAACAUUUCAAGCUGAAUCAGUGAAAUCAAGUCAUGAUACAUUCGGAAGUGAAAAUGUAUGAACUGGAAAACAAUAUAAAGAUUUACCCAUUAUGAAAGUUCAAUCUUGAGGUAAAUGCAUUGCAAUCAUUUAAAACUGCAACCAAUUUUCAUGAUAAUCUUGAUAAUCUUUUCUUAAUAGUAUAAUAUUUUAACCUAUAAGAUGAUGAUGAUGAUGAUAAUGAUAAUGUAAGGAAUAAGAAAAUGUCUGUUCUUCAAUACCUUUACUCUUUAAUGAACUUGUUUAUGUUAUUUCUUCUUCUUCUUCUGUGGAUAAAGGGAAGUUUUGAUUUUUACCUCUCAAACAUUUGAUCAUCUAAGGUAAGGUAAAAAAGCCUUCUCAUUAAAAGAAGAGAGAGAGAGAGAAAGGGAAAGAUACAAUGAAAGUGGGCAGAAGAAGAAAAAAGGAGGAGAAAGGGGGAGUGAAUAAGAGAUGAUGUUGAAGUUGAUGAAGAAGAAGAAGAAGAAAUGUUAAGGUUGAUAUUAAAUGUCUUAAAUAUGAAAGUUUGUUGUGAUGUGUUGUCUCUUGUAUACAUUUAAUGUAGGCCUGAGGCUUCAUCUUCAUCACUAUCACCAUCAUCAUCAUCAUCAUCUUUUUUUGUGAGAAUCAAGAUGAUGAUACAAAAUGUUUCAAGAAAAAAAGAUAAGAGGCGGAGAGAUUGAGAGCUACCGAAUAAUGAGAGUAACUUUGGCCAGCGACAUAUUUUUUCCCUUUCAUGGGAUCAUCAAGACGGUGGUGAAGAGGAGAUGAUGAUCAACAUAAACAUGAACAUCAUCAUUUCCCUUUGGAUUGGCGUUACAAAUGAUUACCGAUAUUUGGCUGAACCAACUUAUACUUGAUCGGACCGCAAUUAACAUUCUUCCCUCAGAUAAAUAUCAAUUUCGUGAUUUAGCCCAAGGAUAAAUUGCUACUGAAUUGCAUGGAUCAUUAUUAUCAUCAUCAUUACUAUUAUUAUUAUUAUUAUUAUGUGCAUUUGUUUUGCUACUGUAACCAAAUGAAGAAACCUCACCUUUAAAGUAACAUAGAGAUUUAGGCUUGGCUUGGUUCACUUGAAUAAGGUUAGGUUUUAAUAUUAAUCUGACAAUGAAACAGUAGCUUCUCUCUGGCAUCCAUUUAUACAACAAUAUUAAAUCAUAUCUUGAGGCUUUCAACCAAUUAUCUGGAUUCACUAUUAAACUAUUAUGUUUAUUAUCACUUCUAUUAUUUUUCAAGCUUCUGGUUUUUUAUUUUCUUUGCUUGCUUCAAUUUUGUUUUAUUUAUUUAUCUAUUUAAUUUCAU